UGCGUAGGCGGAUCUGUAAGUCAGUGGUGAAAUCUCAUAGCUUAACUAUGAAACUGCCAUUGAUACUGCAGGUCUUGAGUAAGGUAGAAGUAGCUGGAAUAAGUAGUGUAGCGGUGAAAUGCAUAGAUAUUACUUAGAACACCAAUUGCGAAGGCAGGUUACUAUGUCUUAACUGACGCUGAUGGACGAAAGCGUGGGGAGCGAACAGGAUUAGAUACCCUGGUAGUCC
rnacentral:rRNA from 1 species